rnacentral:rRNA from 1 species
AUUGAACGCUAGCGGCAGGCCUAACACAUGCAAGUCGAGCGGAUGAAGGGAGCUUGCUCCUGGAUUCAGCGGCGGACGGGUGAGUAAUGCCUAGGAAUCUGCCUGGUAGUGGGGGAUAACGUCCGGAAACGGGCGCUAAUACCGCAUACGUCCUGAGGGAGAAAGUGGGGGAUCUUCGGACCUCACGCUAUCAGAUGAGCCUAGGUCGGAUUAGCUAGUUGGUGGGGUAAGGCCUACCAAGGCGACGAUCCGUAACUGGUCUGAGAGGAUGAUCAGUCACACUGGAACUGAGACACGGUCCAGACUCCUACGGGAGGCAGCAGUGGGGAAUAUUGGACAAUGGGCGAAAGCCUGAUCCAGCCAUGCCGCGUGUGUGAAGAAGGUCUUCGGAUUGUAAAGCACUUUAAGUUGGGAGGAAGGGCAGUAAGUUAAUACCUUGCUGUUUUGACGUUACCAACAGAAUAAGCACCGGCUAACUUCGUG